GACGAACGCUGGCGGCAUGCCUAAUACAUGCAAGUUGAACGAUGAUAUUCUCUGCUUGCAGAGAAUUGAAGAGUAGCGAACGGGUGAGUAACACGUGGGGAACCUGCCCAUGAGAGGGGGAUAACAUUCGGAAACGGAUGCUAAUACCGCAUAAUGCUUUGGACCGCCUGGUCCAGAGACGAAAGACGGCUUUUGCUGUCACUCAUGGAUGGCCCCGCGCCGUAUUAGCUAGUUGGUGAGGUAAUGGCUCACCAAAGCUGUGAUACGUAGCCGACCUGAGAGGGUGAUCGGCCACACUGGGACUGAGACACGGCCCAGACUCCUACGGGAGGCAGCAGUAGGGAAUCUUCCACAAUGGGCGAAAGCCUGAUGGAGCAAUGCCGCGUGAAUGAAGAAGGUCUUCGGAUCGUAAAGUUCUGUUAUUAGAGAAGAACAAGUCAAGGAGUAACUGUCUUGACUUUGACGGUACCUAACCAGAAAGUCACGGCUAACUACGUGCCAGCCGCCGCAGUAA
rnacentral:rRNA from 1 species